AUUGAACGCUGGCGGAAGGCCUAACACAUGCAAGUCGAGCGGAGCGGCGGACGGGGGAGUAAGGCCUAGGAAUCUGCCUGGUCGUGGGGGAUAACGUCCGGAAACGGGCGCUAACACAGCAUACUAUCAGCUGAGACUCGUCCGGAUUAUCUAGUUGGUGGGGUAAAGGCCUACCAAGGCGACGAUCCGUAACUGGUCUGAGAGGUUGAUCAGUCACACUGGAACUGAGACACGGUCCAGACUCUUACGGGAGGCAGCAGUGGGGAAUAGUGUACAAUUGGCGAAAGCCUGAUACAGCCAUGCCGCUUGUGUGAAGAAGGUCUUCGGGUUGUAAUGCACUUUAAGUUGGGAGGCGUUACCAGCAGAAUAAGCACCGGCUAACUCCGUGCCAGCAGCCGCGGUAAUUC
rnacentral:rRNA from 1 species